UACGUAGGGGGCAAGCGUUGUUCGGAAUUACUGGGCGUAAAGGGCGCGUAGGCGGCACAGCAAGUCGGGGAGUGAAAAGCCCCGGGGCUCAACCCCGGAAUGGCUUUCGAAAACUGCUGAGCUAGAGUACAGAAGGGGCAACCGGAAUUCCCAGUGUAGCGGUGAAAUGCGUAGAUAUUGGGAAGAACACCUGAGGCGAAGGCGGGGUUGCUGGGCUGAUACUGACGCGUGAGGCGCGGAAAGCCAGGGGAGCAAACGGG
rnacentral:rRNA from 1 species